rnacentral:rRNA from 1 species
CCUACGGGUGGCAGCAGUCGAGAAUCAUUCACAAUGGGGGAAACCCUGAUGGUGCGACGCCGCGUGGGGGAAUGAAGGUCUUCGGAUUGUAAACCCCUGUCAUGUGGGAGCAAAUUAAAAAGAUAGUACCACAAGAGGAAGAGACGGCUAACUCUGUGCCAGCAGCCGCGGUAAAACAGAGGUCUCAAGCGUUGUUCGGAAUCACUGGGCGUAAAGCGUGCGUAGGCUGUUUCGUAAGUCGUGUGUGAAAGGCCCGGGCUCAACCCGCGAACUGCAGAUGAUACUGCGUGACUAGAGUAAUGGAGGGGGAACCGGAAUUCUCGGUGUAGCAGUGAAAUGCGUAGAUAUCGAGAGGAACACUCGUGGCGAAGGCGGGUUCCUGGACAUUAACUGACGCUGAGGCACGAAGGCCAGGGGAGCGAAAGGGAUUAGAUACCCCUGUAGUC